rnacentral:ncRNA from 1 species
GAAAGCCGUAUGCGAGGAAAUCUUGCACGUCCGGUUCGGAGGAAGGCCAUUGAUACCUGACGAAAGGCUCGACUUCGCAAAGGAAUAAGUUUCCAGUUCAU